CAGCCGUAAACUAUGCUCGCUAGGUGUCAGGCAUGGCGCGACCGUGUCUGGUGCCGCAGGGAAGCCGUGAAGCGAGCCACCUGGGAAGUACGGCCGCAAGGCUGAAACUUAAAGGAAUUGGCGGGGGAGCACCACAACAGGUGGAGCCUGCGGUUUAAUUGGACUCAACGCCGGACAACUCACCGGGGACGACAGCAAUAUGUUGGCCAGGCUGAAGACCUUGCCUGAAUCGCUGAGAGGUGGUGCAUGGCGUAGACGUCU
rnacentral:rRNA from 1 species